GCCCUGGAAAGCCACGGGUUCUUAUUCGGUGAUCAGGAUUCAAUACAGAGAGCUCACCAUGGAAUUCACAAAGAGUUGGGUUUUCCUCCUUGCUGUUGUACAAGGUGUGCAGGCUGAGGUGCAGCUGGUGGAGUCUGGCGGGGGCUUGGUGCGGCCUGGCGGAUCCCUGAGACUCUCUUGUGCAGCCUCUGGUUUCACCUUUAGUAACUACUACAUGCACUGGAUCCGCCAGACUCCAGGAAAGGGGCUGGAGUGGAUCGCAUACAUCAGUGGUAGUAGUAAUGAUAUAAACUACGCAGCCUCCGUGAAGGGCCGGUUCACCAUCUCCAGAGACAACAGCAAGAACACGCUGUAUCUGCAAGUGAAUAACGUGAGAACCGAGGACACCGCGCUGUAUUACUGCGCGAAAGACACAGUGAGGGAAUGUAUGUUACUCUUUCCUUUAUGA